rnacentral:rRNA from 1 species
AUUGAACGCUGGCGGCAGGCCUAACACAUGCAAGUCGAGCGGAUGAAGGGAGCUUGCUCCUGGAUUCAGCGGCGGACGGGUGAGUAAUGCCUAGAAAUCUGCCUGGUAGUGGGGAUAACGUCCGGAAACGGGGGCAAAUUACGCAAACGUCCCGUAGGAGCAAGGGGGGGAAGCUCGGGCCCUUCGGUCAUCGAUGGACCUAAGUCGGAUUAGCUAGUUGGUGGGGUAAAGGCCUACCAAGGCGACGAUCCGUAACUGGUCUGAGAGGAUGAUCAGGCACACUGGAACUGAGACACGGUCCAGACUCCUACGGGAGGCAGCAGUGGGGAAUAUUGGACAAUGGGCGAAAGCCUGAUCCAGCCAUGCCGCGUGUGUGAAGAAGGUCUUCGGAUUGUAAAGCACUUUAAGUUGGGAGGAAGGGCAGUAAGUUAAUACCUUGCUGUUUUGACGUUACCAACAGAAUAAGCACCGGCUAACUUCGUG